GUGCCUACAACCUAAGAAGCCCUUUGCAAUUUAUUACCUCUGAUUUAUUAUUUUUCUUUCUGCCUAGUUUACCCAGAUGACGGGUGACCAUUAUAUUUUGAGCAACGUUGACAUGAGAGACAGCUGGAUGAUAGCAAUUGUGACUGUAUACGGCAGCUGCGCUAGCAACUAAAAAUCAAGCAUGGAGGAAUUAAAGUGGUUCCGGCAUAUACUCUGCCCUGAGGCUCCAAAGUGCCUGUGUGCCUUUUACGGUACUUACCCUUCGUCAACUAAACUCGGUUCGAAGAUACAACCGGCAAGAAACGGCCCGUCGCGGAGCAACAAGGAAAACAACCGUCGUUACAAGUCGUAAAAAGAUAUUGGUUGUCGUACAACGUUGUGCCAUGGACUAGGAGGAAUGUCGCACUUCAAGGGCCACCGAGAUUUUUUUUUUUUGUGCUUAUUUGUGCGCCUGCGUAAUAAUGAAAUGUCUCCUCCCCAGAGCGCUGCGUCGAGAGGGUGGAGACUGUUGGAAAAAAACACCUCUCCGGUUGGUUUGAGCCGUGUAAAAUUCGGGCUCUGCAUCUUCGAAAUUAAAAUGGUGCUUAGUCACAGGAUCGAUCAGGGUUAAAGAAUCCUUAUGGUCAAGACGUUUGCUAUAAAUUUGACAAUUUACAGAAAAGAAGCUAUCACCUAAAGACCUCACCACGAAGCAGAAUUUUGUUCUGGAUUAAGUACGGAUUCGGUUUUUUUGCAAUAGGCUUCUUUAAUUUGCAAGCAUUCAAUGUUAGAAAAACUCAGAUGGGAAAAGGUGGGGCUAUCGGAACCGGGUUGCUGAAGUCCAGUCGGUUUGAUGUUUCCUGUAUAUUUGCUGUCUUCUAAGGAAUGAUAUUCUGGAUAGUUGCAUAGCAGCUCUCCAAAUUGAGAGUAUGAAGACUCCUUAUGUAGAUUCUGGUGUUUAUAGAGGCAAUUUGUGUGUUAUAAACCGCUUGAUCCUAAAUGAAUUCUAAAAUGCAAAAUUACUGUAAAGUAACACCUUACCUUCUACUAUCUUCAUAAAAUUAUUUAGCACACUGCACUGUUCAAUGAGGUGCCAACCAGGAGGACACACUAUCAAACAUAUUUUAACUCAUCAGCUUUUUUCCUCUGGCCACAGGGCAAGAAUGCUGCUUUUUUCCUUCAAAAGAUAACUCAUAGUUGGAGAAGAGUUUCUGGUAAGGAGAGCAGAAAGCAAGUUUCUGGCUUCUUUGGGUGGGUGGAGCAGGAUUGAUAUUUGUAGGAAAUCCCUUGGAAGGAAAGGAUAGAGUUUUCUACUCUCCCUGAUUUAUUGCACAAUUCAGAAUAUAUCAGAGUGCACUAAUGUGUCGCAAGAAUUGAUAAACACUUUUUACAAUUAAGCCA